UAUACAUCUAUCUGUCUGGCAUGGUCUGGAGGGAGAGGAGAGGUGUUUAUAUACACACUGAUUAUACAUCUAUCUGUCUGGCAUGGUCUGGAGGGAGAGGAGAGGUGUUUAUAUACACACUGAUUAUACAUCUAUCUGUCUGGCAUGGUCUGGAGGGAGAGGAGAGGUGUUUAUAUACACACUGAUUAUACAUCUAUCUGUCUGGCAUGGUCUGGAGGGAGAGGAGAGGUGUUUAUAUAAUAUAUACACACAGAUAUAUAUGUCUGUCUGUCUGGCAUGGUCUAGAGGGAGAGGAGAGGUGUUUAUAUAAUAUAUACACACUGAUAUAUAUCUGUCUGUCUGUCUGGCAUGGUCUGGAGGGAGAGGAGAGGUGUUUAUAUAAUAUAUACACACUGAUAUAUAUCUGUCUGUCUGUCUGGCAUGGUCUGGAGGGAGAGGAGAGGUGUUUAUAUAAUAUAUACACACUGAUAUAUAUCUGUCUGUCUGUCUGGCA